CCUACGGGAGGCAGCAGUGAGGAAUAUUGGUCAAUGGGCGCGAGCCUGAACCAGCCAAGUCGCGUGAGGGAAGACGGUCCUAUGGAUUGUAAACCUCUUUUGUCGGGGAGCAAAAGACGCCACGCGUGGCGUUCCGCGCGUACCCGAAGAACAAGCAUCGGCUAACUCCGUGCCAGCAGCCGCGGUAAUACGGAGGAUGCGAGCGUUAUCCGGAUUUAUUGGGUUUAAAGGGUGCGCAGGCGGAAGAUCAAGUCAGCGGUAAAAUUGAGAGGCUCAACCUCUUCGAGCCGUUGAAACUGGUUUUCUUGAGUGAGCGAGAAGUAGGCGGAAUGCGUGGUGUAGCGGUGAAAUGCAUAGAUAUCACGCAGAACUCCGAUUGCGAAGGCAGCAUACCGGCGCGCAACUGACGCUCAUGCACGAAAGUGUGGGUAUCGAACAGGAUUAGAUACCCGAGUAGUC
rnacentral:rRNA from 1 species